UACGAAGGGGGCUAGCGUUGCUCGGAAUCACUGGGCGUAAAGGGCGCGUAGGCGGCCAUUCAAGUCGGAGGUGAAAGCCCAGGGCUCAACCCUGGAAUUGCCUUCGAUACUGUCUGGCUAGAGACCGGAAGAGGUAAGUGGAACUGCGAGUGUAGAGGUGAAAUUCGUAGAUAUUCGCAAGAACACCAGUGACGAAGGCGGCUUACUGGUCCGGUUCUGACGCUGAGGCGCGAAAGCGUGGGGAGCAAACAGG
rnacentral:rRNA from 1 species